GAAGUGGACCUAAUGUACAGGUGGAGGGAGAUGGUUGUCUUGUUGUAUAGAGGUGGUCCUAUUGUAUAUGUGGAACAGAGAUGGUGGUCCUAUUGUAUAGAGAUGGUCCUAUUGUGUGUGUGGAACAGAGAUGGGUGGUCCUAUUGUAUAGGUGGAACAGAGAUGGGUGGUCCUAUUGUAUAGGUGGAACAGAGAUGGGUGGUCUUAUUCUAUAGAGAUGGUCCUAUUGCAU